CCUACGGAGGGCAGCAGUGGGGAAUAUUGGACAAUGGGGGGAACCCUGAUCCAGCCAUGCCGCGUGUGUGAAGAAGGCCCUCGGGUUGUAAAGCACUUUCAGUGAGGAAGAACGCCUGGUGGUUAAUACCCAUCAGGAAAGACAUCACUCACAGAAGAAGCACCGGCUAACUCCGUGCCAGCAGCCGCGGUAAUACGGAGGGUGCGAGCGUUAAUCGGAAUUACUGGGCGUAAAGCGCGCGUAGGUGGCUUGAUAAGCCGGUUGUGAAAGCCCCGGGCUCAACCUGGGAACGGCAUCCGGAACUGUCAAGCUAGAGUGCAGGAGAGGAAGGUAGAAUUCCCGGUGUAGCGGUGAAAUGCGUAGAGAUCGGGAGGAAUACCAGUGGCGAAGGCGGCCUUCUGGACUGACACUGACACUGAGGUGCGAAAGCGUGGGUAGCAAACAGGAUUAGAUACCCCGGUAGUC
rnacentral:rRNA from 1 species